UCCUGAUUAACUCAGGCAGUCUCGUUAGACAUAGUAACUAACGACAUGGGUUGCGCUCGUUAACGGACUUAACCGAACACCUCAAGGCACGAGCUGACGACAACCAUGCAGCGCCUGUCUUCAGGUCCCUUGCGGGUACUCCGCUGUUUCCAGCAGAUUCCAUCGAUGUCAAGCCUGGGUAAGGUUCCUCGUUUAGUGUCGAAUUAAACAACAUGAUCCACUGCUUGUGUGGGUCCCCGUCUAUUCAUUUGAGUUUUAAUCUUGCGACCGUACUUCUCAGGUGGAAAACUUAAUGCGUUAGCUUGAAGCACCGGGUUACCCCGACACUUAGUUUUCAUCGUUUAGGGCGUGGACUA
rnacentral:misc_RNA from 1 species